CCUACGGGAGGCAGCAGUAGGGAAUCUUCCACAAUGGGCGAAAGCCUGAUGGAGCAACGCCGCGUGGGUGAAGAAGGUCUUCGGAUCGUAAAACCCUGUUGUUAGAGAAGAAAGUGCGUGAGAGUAACUGUUCACGUUUCGACGGUAUCUAACCAGAAAGCCACGGCUAACUACGUGCCAGCAGCCGCGGUAAUACGUAGGUGGCAAGCGUUAUCCGGAUUUAUUGGGCGUAAAGGGAACGCAGGCGGUCUUUUAAGUCUGAUGUGAAAGCCUUCGGCUUAACCGGAGUAGUGCAUUGGAAACUGGGAGACUUGAGUGCAGAAGAGGAGAGUGGAACUCCAUGUGUAGCGGUGAAAUGCGUAGAUAUAUGGAAGAACACCAGUGGCGAAAGCGGCUCUCUGGUCUGUAACUGACGCUGAGGUUCGAAAGCGUGGGUAGCAAACAGGAUUAGAUACCCCAGUAGUC
rnacentral:rRNA from 1 species